rnacentral:rRNA from 1 species
UACGAGUGCCCCAAGCGUUAUCCGGAAUUAUUGGGUGUAAAGGGUGUGUAGGAGGUCAUAUUAGUCGUGUGUCAAAACUCUGGGCUUAACCUAGAAUCUGCACGCGAAACGGUAUGACUAGAGGACGCGAGAGAUGUGUAGAACUCAUAGUGUAGGGGUGAAAUCCGUUGAUAUUAUGGGGAAUACCAAAAGCGAAGGCAGCACAUUGGCGCGCUCCUGACUCUGAAACACGAAAGCGUGGGUAGCGAAUGAG